UCUUCCCUGUAUGCAACCAUAUUUUCAGCGGGAAAACCCAAACCCAGUAAGUCCACUUCAGGGCUGGGUGUUGUCCACUGGUUUUGCCCAAGGCUUCCUUCCCUGUUCUGUAGUAGCUGCUUACAUCUGAGCUGGCAUUCAAGGGAAACAGAGGCGGACUUUCCUCAAUUUCAGGAGGAGGAGGGGCUGGAACUCCCAGAAGGACCUCUGAGAGAUCUGUAUUGUUCGUUUCAGGGGCCCAGUGGUCCUGUGGAGGCUGGUGGAGCAGUCUCCUGGCCCCAAUGUAGGAAAUGUUCUGUAGGAGUUCCUAUCAGCUCAACAGCCAAUAGUUACUGGGUUGGAGGUGGGCUGUCAUGUUCUGAACAGACCCCCAUGGAGAUCUGCCUUGUUGCUAUCAGAGCCCCAUCCCACCCUGUAGCAUGUUGGCUGUGGGUGUAGCCUCAGCCUCAGUCUCAAGACAUCUGUCUCCUAGCACACAGCAGUCUCAGUCAACAGUCCCCAGUGCCAAUGGGAAGGAGCAGACAGAUCUGAACUGACCCCCAGGGAGUUCCUUGCUGCUGAUCUCUGCUCCCAGAUUCAGAGCCCCUCAAGGGUGAAGUUCGCUCUUGACGUUGGGCUCAGCCAAGUGACUUGCUGUGUGCAAUGGAACGUGUGGGCAGCAGUGUCAAUGAUCAGUUUUGUGCCUAGAGCUUAAGAAGACUUGUAUGCUUCUACUCAUUUCUUGUGGAGCUUCUACCUCCUGUAUGAGAAAAACAUGCCCAGAAGAAUGAGAGACCCAUGGAGCAGACAUAAACUGAGCCUGCAACCUGGGACCAAGCCCAGCCAAGCCCACCAAGAUCAGCUGAAUCCCAGGCAACUCACAGAUACAAGAAGAAGACAUAAAUACUGCUGAAUGCUUCUGAGAUUUUACAGUUGUUACUGAUGGUACAACCAGCUCUUUCUUUGUCGUAUUUGUGGAGGAGUGUUGGAAAGAUGGUCUGUUUACACCACAAGGAACAGUUGGUAUUUCGGGGUGAUAGAACUAUGUUCUUCUUUUUCUUUCAUUUUCUAUAUUUUCUACAAUGGGCAUACUUAUAUGGUAAGAAAAAAUAUUUAAACAUAGAUAUAUGUAAAACAAUCUUCCAGGAAAUUUCAGAAGAAAAUGGUGCCUGUAAUCCUACCAUGUCUGUUCUCAUUCUCAUACAGACAUACAAUAAUCUAGUGAUAAUCACAGGAUGCAUACUCAUAUAUCCUUGUAACUACAUGUCCUUCACAAUAAACAUCUACCCAAAAACCCAUCGUCAUUGAGCUGAUUCCAACUCAUAGCAACCCUGUAAGGACAGAGUAGAACUGCCCCCAUAGGGUUCCCAAGGCUGUAAGUCCUUGCAGAAGCAGGCUGCCACAUCUUUCUCCUGCAGAGUGGCUGGUGGGUUCUAACCACUGACCUUUUGGUUAGCAGCCAAGUGCUUUAGCCACCGCAUCACCAGGGCUCCAUACAGAGGUUGACAAAAUAUCCCACCAAGUGAAUAUACCAUGGUAUGCUUGUGUUUUCCUACUGUUGGAAAUGUAAAGUAUUCCUGAAUUUUCACACCUAGAGAUCGUGAGAAAAUGAAUAUAUUCAUGUGUGUGCUUUUUUUCCCCCUCCCUUUGAAUUAUUUCCCGAAGAUAAAGUCACAGGCUUGGGACUGUAUGAGAGGGAAUGAAUAUUUUCAUACUUUUUGGUAUGUGUUAAAAUUUUGCCUUCCAGAACAAAUCAGUCACUGCACCUCUCUGCUCUUUUUGUUUACAUGUGCCAGGCUGCAGCAGAUACUGCAGAUCACACAGUCCAUGCCUGUCAAGAAAUGAGCCUAGCCUCUCCUGUACCUAAAGCCAAAACAAAACCCGUUACUGUCAAGUCGAUUCCAACUCAUGGUGGUCCCCAUGUCUUACACAGUAAACUUGAGCUCCACAGAGUUUUCUUAGCUGUAAUCUUUUUUCCCCCUAGGCUGUAAUCUUUUUGUUUUUGUUUUUUUCUUUGUGUGCAUGCGUGUGUGUGUGCUUUAAGUGAAAGUUUACAAUUCAAGUCAGUUUCUCAUACAAAAAUACACACAUUGUUAUGUGACCCUAGUUGCUCUCCCUACAAUGUGACAACACACUCCUCCUCUCUACCCUGUAUUUCCCAUGUCCAUUCAACCAGCUCCUGACCCCUCUGUCUUCUCAUUUCGCCUCCAGACAGGAGCUGCCCAUUUAGUCUCAUGUAUCUACUUCAGCCAAGGAGCACACUCUACACCAGUAUCAUUUCAUGUCUUAUAGUCCAGUCUAAUCCUUGUCUGAAGAGUUGGCUUCAGGAAUGGUUUUAGUUUUGGGCUAACAGAGAGUCCAU